GAGCCCGUAGCCCAGCCAGGACAGAGCGCCAGCCUCCGGGGCCGGAGGUCCCAGGUUCUCGGAGCCCGUGGCGGGCUCG
rnacentral:tRNA from 1 species